CACAGUGGUCCUGGCACCCACAGUCCAGGGAUGGGGUGCCCUAUAAACAGAGGUGGCAGUGCCCCAGCAGCAGGAUUUGGGCAGACAUCCACGGGCCACGUGCUGCACGUUCGCUUGACCCGUGCCUGUGGCAAGGAACGCGUCGCAAGCGCAUCUCUGCAAAUGGAUACGGCUCUGCUCUCACCGGGGCCGCUGUUUGCAUAUUUGAAGCUCUACGGCCACAGCGUCAGCGGGAGAGCUGCGGUGAAGGAAACAGCUUCAGACGCUCGUACGCAAACCCUUCUGCCCGAAGGUUGCUGAUGAUGGAGAAAUGUCUUGUUGGUGGAGAAGGGUGAGAAGACAGAAGAUAGAGAUGGACCUGAAGAAUCCCAGGUUUAUAUUUCUUGGAUGAAGGAGGAGAAAUGUGCACGCAGCAUUUCCUAGCUGGACGCUAACAUGGGGCUCGUGUGUUCUCACCAGAAUGACAAUUCAGGUGCCCUACUUUGCUAUUUUCUUUGAAGACUAUGGGAAGAGAGGGCCUGUGGAAGAGAGUCUCCUACCUGGUAGGGAAGACUCUGUGAGAUGGAGCCAGGAGCUCUUCCAGAUUUUGCAGAUCCUACACCCUGACAGUCCCAUGCCACAGCCUCACGCUGCUCUGUGCUCUCUCCCCUCCGCUGGACACAGCAAAUGACUCUGGUUUCAGUUCCUCCAUGUCUCAGCUGUUUCUGUGACACCCAGUAGAUGGUGCCACCAAGUAGCACAUUUAUGUGAGUGGUUUCUUAUCGGAGGCAUUUUAAGUUUAUUCCAAAUCCUGUACAUCUUAUGAUCUUCCUUCCCUUUCUGUAAAGAGUUUUUCCCGAAGUUUUGGAUAUUACCCCAGAAGGCAUUGUCACCUUUAAUUUUCCCCUAUUUUUAUCAUGCCAUCUAAUUAGCAUCAUUUUUACCAUACAAAUAUUUUGAAAAAAAGCCCCUAAACUGUGAUCAUUCCUUUUUGAAUUUAUAUGAUUCUGUUGGCUUUUCAUGUUUUUUGAGUAAAAUUCAGCCCUCAAAUUUUUUUUAUUGGACCAGAAUCUGCUGUUAGAAAACUCCUGUGAAACAAAUGGUUCUGGAGAAGAAAUGCUGUGAGUGAGUGAGUGCUCAGCACCCUCAGUCACGUCUUUAGAGUCUUAGCUCUCCACUUCCAGACUCCUUGGCAGCACAUUUGGAAGUGGGAGAUCCACUGUUGGUUUUGUCUCUGGCCAGGCUGGAAGCUGUAGAAGCUCAUUUCUUGUAACCAGAGCUGACAGCAAAGGAACAAAUGUUGAGCUCCAUUUCCAUCUUAGAUGUCUUCUGCUGCAUCAGCCCCCAAAUGAGAAUACCUUCUGUGUAGCACAAAUGCUUUGAUAAUUCAGGCUGUCAGCUUGUCUGCAAAAGCCAGAAAAAAAGAUAUGAGAGAAGGCUCCCCUGUGGGCAAAAUGCAAUUCUUCAUUCCUGAUUCUUUGUUUGCUUUUUUUGUUGGAAGUUUCACCUGCGGAGCAUUUGGUUUCCUGCGUCUCAAAGCACGGCUUUCCUUUAGCAGGCUGUUUAAAUAUUUACUUUCUCUGCCCUUCCCAUCCCACCAUACUUCAAACUGGAGAAGGGAACAUUUAUCCACAUGCAGCCUGUAAGAUGCUUUGUCUGAGUGAGUAACAAAUAUUUGCAGUUUAAUAAAGACAGGAGCUUUCAGUCUUUGGGAACAUGUAUUACAGCCUCAAUUUGGAAUGGGUGAUGAGGUGAUUACUAAACCCUGGUUGCCAUGGGGAAGGGAGAAGGGUGAUUGGCUUUUGAUGGAAGAAACUGAGAGGUACCUACAGUAACUUAUUGCUAAUACACACUCAAGGUGCACUUGGCAUCGACACAUCUUGCAGGGAGCAGCAGUCAGUCUUACUAAUGUCUGAGGAGUCAGCUUUAGCAGCAUCAGUUAUUGAUGCUGAAGGUCAGUUUUUUGUGACUGGUCAUUGCUUGUAACCUCCCUCAAAUUUGGUGCAACCGUGGGAGUGAUUCCUGCCAGGGUGGUUGAUUGAAUUUGUGAGCGGUUCAGGGGUACUCGCAAAUCAAGCAGACACUGGCCACCUACAAACAGGCAUAAAGCAUCAGUGUGAAAUGGAAUCUGGAGGCUGAGGGCUUCUGAAUAAGUCAGAUUAUCAUGGUGCUGUGCUGGAGAGCAGCUCCUGCCUUAAACUUCCAAGAACUUAGAAGGAAAGCUGUGCAGUGUUGGAGUUGUUCAUGGGGUUGCAAAGAUGCCCCAGCUGAGCUGUGUGUGUCAGAGGGUUUGUAUCUGUGUUUAGUGCUUAGAGCACAAGGAAGAGGCUGUCUCCUUGGUUAGAUACAUCAGGCUUGACUCUCCUCACCCUUGGAUAAACCUGCAGCAAUCCCUCCCCAGGAGGAAAGCACUGAGCACCUUCACCCUUUCCUAUCCCCCUCUUCUGUAGAGUACAGUUGAGGGCUGCUCUGGGUGUCUUGUUUCUCUCUGGAAAUGGGAAGUAUUUUUAGUGUAACCAUUGAAAACAUGGGCUAACUCCUGCCUUCUGUAUUGGCUAUCAGCCAGUAUUUCUGGAGGGUAGGUAGCAAGCCAGCCUGUUUGCCCUGGGUCACUGUGGUUUUCCACCUCGCUCCUUGUCUCUUCUUAGUGUUUUUCAUGUUGAAAACUGCCCCCAGGUAGCCAGUCUUUGGAAUGACACUUCUUGUCCUUAGUGAUCAGACAGCGGUGGAGACACAUCACUGUAAUUGUGUUUGUCUCCUUCACUGGCUUUUCCUUGUAAAUUUGUUCCUUGAAUUUGUUUCUGGAUGGCAGAUGUGUUAAUGGCUGGGCGGUUUCAAUGUGUUUAUCUUUUGUGUGCUGUAUAUUUUGGAUAUAGAAGCAGCGAGAAGAGAUAAGCUCAAAGAAACCACUUCUGCAUUAAUGCCAGUAAUUCUGAGAUUAUAAAUAUAUAUGAGAGAGUUUCCGUGAUUAUGAGUAUAUUUUAAUGUUUUGUUUAAUGCUGUUGACUCUCUGGGGACGAAACAAGAGGAAAUCUCAUUUGUAUAAUUUAAACAGCUCACAAUAAAAAUAGGAGCAAAGAAAGGACAAAUUAAAUGGCCAUGCUUUCAGACACAUGCAGAUACCACUCCCUUUGAGGGCCCAGUCCUUGCAAUGGAGCCUGUGUGGCUCCAGCCUGUUAUUUCCUGGACUGAAUCCAUGGGCUGUGGAGCCUGUGGCACCACACUCCUGGCAUCUCCUCAAGGGUGGCAGGACUGAGAGAAAUCAAGUCUCAGCUCAUGUGAUGUUACAAUGGAGACGUGGGGACCAUGUUCUAUUUAAGAGGCCAUGGAAAGGACAGCGGGGACUCCCAAAGCCAGUUGUCUCUCCCUUCCCCUUUGUGGACAGCAGACCAUCACAUAGUAAGAGGAGAGGCAUGUAAAAUAAGAUAAAUUUGUGUAGUCCCUAUGGUGGUUUUUAGGUUCUUGAGCAGCUCCUCCUAGCAGAGGUACAGAUAUGUGCUCACCUAAGGUUAAUUUAUUUAUAUACUUUCUUGCUACUUCACAAUCUAUGUUGUUUUCAACACUGUGUCCAGCUCUUUUUUCAGUGUCACAGUCCAUCAUCUCACUCCUUUAUUUGCAGAUUUAUCUUAUUCCAGCACAACAUGCCAAGGAAUAAAAAAUACAACGAUCAACUUUUCUCACAGUUGAGAAAGGACUUGGGGGAAAAAAACCCUGUACAACAAUAAUCUAUCAAAACAUUUCCCAUGAGCAAAGGCUGCUUGACCAAACAUGCUCAGGCUUAUCAGCAAAAAUGAAACACUACUUUUCCCUUUCUCACCCCUUUUGAGUUCUUCUCCCCAGCACUGCACAUCUCUGCUCCCGCGAGGCAGGAUUUUCACCAGAAGUGCUGUUCCCUGAGAAUUUCCUCCAGUCACCUCCAAUUGCCAGCAUCAGAAAAGUCCUUGGGUUAUGGCCCAUAUUUCUGUGCUACAAGAGCAGGCAGCAAAGAUUGCCUCUGGUUUAACAGGUUCAAGUCUGCAGAUAAGAAAUUAAAGGUCUUGCUGUCCAGCUGGUGUUGUACCUUUGCAGCCAACCAAGCCUGGAGCGAGAGGAGCUUUCCCUGUGUCCUGGCAGCAUCUCUCUUGGCUUUCCUUGAUGGUAGGUAUGGAGAAAGGGGACCUGCUCCAUUACCACUGCCCAGACUCAUACAUCCAUCACUCUCUCCCCAUUUAUCCAACUUUUGCUUUUUGCUUGAUGGAGCAAAAGGCUGGGAAAGAGUCGUUUGCUGUUUCUAGGAGUUCUGGCUUCCAUUUCUGGCCCUGUGCCUUGCAGAAAAGCUUUGCUGUUUCUGUGACAAAUUUGGCAGAUUUCUGGCUUCUGGGCUGUCAUGCCUGGACUUCAUGAAGGGAAUUAAGGAGAUGAGAUCAAGAGGAGUAUUUUGUUAUUUGAGAGCAAAGACUUUCCCACUCUACACAGCCUUCCCGUGCUGCACUUGCAGAUGCAGAAAUGUGGCUGCUGUAGGUGUUUUCCUUCUGGGAUGUGUGUCAGCAGAUCCAUUUCAAUCUCCCACUGUCAAUUCGGUGUGACAUGAUCUUGGUUAAGCCAUACAUUUCCAUUCACAGCCUGUGAUCACAAAGAUAUUCAUCAAUUUUUGGAGGGACCAAGGGGUUUUAAACUUGAUAUUCCUGCACUGUUAUUGGGUAGGAAGUAUAUUUAUAUGUAAGAAUUCCUUAUUUCUGAAGCAUACAAGAAAAGCCCAUAUACCUGGAAAAUUAUUUAUUCUUCAUUAUCUGAAUUUUUGCUGCAAGAAGCUGCACAUCAUUGGGCUGCUGUGUUGCUCCUGGCAAAAGGCAGCCUCAAGAAGGGGCUUAAUAUCCCUUAUAGCAAAUUGCUGGAGGACUCCCUGGAGGACACUGUUGCCCAUUUUGGCCCCUGAUGGUCUGUGUGGAACAAGCAGAUGGCUAAAAUAUAUCCAAACUCGAGACCCGAAGGUAACCUGAAAGGAUUAGUGAGAAUUUCACCUUUCUGCAGGGAGAGAAAGGAAUACAUUGCAGCUCAGACCUCUUGGAAAGGUCUAACGUGGUAUUUAUUUCAGAUAUAAAUUUGACUAUAUAAAAAUGACACCUUUGUACUCAGCCUGUGGUGCCAGAUCCAGCUCUCACUUGUAAAUUAGGAGUAGAUCCAUUCAGGCGAUGGAAUUACAGCAGCUGAUGUGACAGCAGCCUCAUCUUGGCAAUAUUUCAUUCACUGAGUGCCUCUAAUAUCUCUAAUAUCCUGCUGGUGUGAAUCAGAAGAUACUGCUGAAACCAACAGUGGUGGAUAGGGAAUGAAAGAGAAGCAGGACCUGCAUGUUUUUGGGCAGCAGAUAUCCUGGGCACACUCUCCAGUCACAGAGCAGCAGCCUCCCCACCGCCUCACCGGGCACUCGGGAGCCGUGCUGGAAAGAUGAUGCCAAAAAAUGCUUUUGCACAAACUCUUGAUCACCCUUUCAUGUUGCUGCCUGAAUGCACCUCUGCACCUUCUCCCUGAUGUUCCAGGGCUACCACGAGGACCUCAUGUGGCUGCUUGUCCCAGCCCAGCCUGUUUCCCCUCCCACUCAGAGGAGCAGAUGCAGCCUUGGCCCUGCCAAGGCUUUUCUCACAACUGAGAAAAGACUCGUGAAGGAGGACUUGAGGAGGAGGAUUUUGGAUAC